CCGGAUAUAUUCUGAUGGCUCAAUAGCAAUAUUCAGAAUCCGAGAGACGGUCGUUCUCACUGAUGGUGAUUUCAGAGUGAUUGACGUCGUCUGAAUAUCGAGAGGCAGCCUACAAUGCAAAGGCAAAGACUUUCACCUGUGCUCCUGUUGCUGCUGCUGCUUCGCAGCCACUCGAGCUUCUGCUUAACACGCCGCUCUGGUGUGGAAGCUAUCGCUACCUGGUCAUCUAAGGUCACGGAUCCACGAGUCCCGAGUCAUUGAUCCUGAUCGACAUUCGAAAAGUUUUAUAUUCGACAAAUAAGUUUAACGCCGUUGCUGAGAUUUAAGAUUCAAUUGUGCGAUGCGAACAAAGCAAAAGAUGAUCCAGUCCAGAAAUAUCCUGCUCAUCGCAAGAUGCUUCGGUUCGGAGAUGAUCCCGCAAAUUCUUUAUAGAAAAGUUUUUAAAAAAAAGUAUUUUUUUAAAUAAAAUAUGUUAUAUGUCAAAAUAAAAUUCAAACUACCCUUUA